AUUGAACGCUGGCGGCAUGCUUUACACAUGCAAGUCGAACGGAAGCGCGGGCUUCGGCCUGGCGGCGAGUGGCGAACGGGUGAGUAAUGCAUCGGAAGGUGCCCAGUAGUGGGGGAUAGCACGGCGAAAGCAGGAUUAAUACCGCAUACGACCUGAGGGUGAAAGCGGGGGACCGAAAGGGCUCGCGCGAUUGGAGGGGACGAUGUCGGAUUAGCUAGUUGGUGGGGUAAAGGCUUACUAAGGCGACGAUCCGUAGCUGGUCUGAGAGGACGACCAGCCACACUGGGACUGAGACACGGCCCAGACUCCUACGGGAGGCAGCAGUGGGGAAUUUUGGACAAUGGGGGCAACCCUGAUCCAGCCAUGCCGCGUGCGGGAAGAAGGCCUUCGGAUUGUAAACCGCUUUUGUUCGGGAAGAAAUCCUCUGGGCUAAUACCCCGGGGGGAUGACGGUACCGGAAGAAUAAGCACCGGCUAACUACGUG
rnacentral:rRNA from 1 species